GACGAACGCUGGCGGCGUGCCUAAUACAUGCAAGUCGAGCGAAGUUUUUCUGGUGCUUGCACUAGAAAAACUUAGCGGCGAACGGGUGAGUAACACGUAAAGAACCUGCCUCAUAGACUGGGACAACUAUUGGAAACGAUAGCUAAUACCGGAUAACAGUAUUUCUCGCAUGGGAGAUAUUUAAAAGUUGGUUAUGCUAACACUAUGAGAUGGCUUUGCGGUGCAUUAGCUAGUUGGUGGGGUAAAGGCCCACCAAGGCGACGAUGCAUAGCCGACCUGAGAGGGUGAUCGGCCACACUGGGACUGAGACACGGCCCAGACUCCUACGGGAGGCAGCAGUAGGGAAUCUUCCGCAAUGGGCGAAAGCCUGACGGAGCAACGCCGCGUGAGUGAAGAAGGAUUUCGGUUCGUAAAGCUCUGUUGUUAGGGAAGAAUGGAUAUGUAGUAACUAUACAUGUAAGAGACGGUACCUUACCAGAAAGCCACGGCUAACUACGUG
rnacentral:rRNA from 1 species